GUCUGGUUGGCUCAGCUGGUUAGAGCGCAGGUCUCAUAUCUCUAUGAGUCAGGUAUUUCCUGAUGCAAUCCUGAGGUCGUGAGUUCGAUCCUCACACCGGACA